UGGCUCAGGAUGAACGCUAGCGGCAGGCUUAACACAUGCAAGUCGAACGGUAACAGAAGAGCUUGCUCUUGCUGACGAGUGGCGAACGGGUGCGUAACGCGUAUACAACUUGCCUUUUACUAAGGAAUAGCUCAGAGAAAUUUGAAUUAAUACCUUAUAAUAUCUUCGAUUCGCAUGUUUUGAAGAUUAAAGAUUUAUCGGUAAAAGAUGGGUAUGCGUGAUAUUAGCUUGUUGGUGAGGUAACGGCUCACCAAGGCAACGAUAUCUAGGGGGUCUGAGAGGAUGAUCCCCCACACUGGUACUGAGACACGGACCAGACUCCUACGGGAGGCAGCAGUGAGGAAUAUUGGUCAAUGGACGAAAGUCUGAACCAGCCAUGCCGCGUGUAGGAUGAAUGCCCUAUGGGUUGUAAACUACUUUUAUAUAGGAAGAAACCUUUUCAUUUAUGAAAAGCUGACGGUACUAUACGAAUAAGCAUCGGCUAACUCCGUGCCAGCAGCCGCGGUAAUACGGAGGAUGCAAGCGUUAUCCGGAUUUAUUGGGUUUAAAGGGUUCGUAGGCGGGAAAUUAAGUCAGUGGUGAAAGCCUGCAGCUCAACUGCAGAACUGCCAUUGAUACUGAUUUUCUUGAAUAUAUAUGAAGUGGGCGGAAUACGUCAUGUAGCGGUGAAAUGCACAGAUAUGACGUAGAACACCGAUAGCGAAGGCAGCUCACUAAUAUAUUAUUGACGCUCAGGAACGAAAGCAUGGGGAGCGAACAGGAUUAGAUACCCUGGUAGU
rnacentral:rRNA from 1 species